CAGCGUGAGCAGAAAGAAGUGUUUCUCUUUCAGAUCACAGAUUGCUGCUGCAAGCUUUUGCCAACCGAGUGCGUUUCCUCAGCGGCCAAGCUCUGCUGGAUGUCACAGAACAUCUCUCAGCGCUCGUGGUAUCUCUUUAUCCCUGGAAACCCCAAGCCGUCAAGCACUACGCCCUGCCCGUACUCUGGUUCUUCCUGGGAAACAAGGCCCCGCCUGUCCGAAGCAGGAAUGUCAGGGCUGUGGCUGCCAAGCUUGCAAAGACCCUCUACCAAGUGAUGGGCUUGAGCCUGAAGGACCAUGCUGCCACCCAGCCUCAGCACGUGGUGAAGAACCUCUCGGACAUUUUGGGCCUGAAGGUCGGGUGAAGACUUGGUGUGCUCCAGGGAGCCGACAGAGAGAUGCUGAGUGGAACAGGUGGAGGCAAAGGUGGACGUGGUGGUGGCGGCACUGGUUUUACUCAGUGUCUUUGAAGAACGAGAUUAACCGUACAGAGUUUAUAGUUACAGUUGUACAUAGCAUAUUUU